rnacentral:rRNA from 1 species
AUUGAACGCUGGCGGCAGGCUUAACACAUGCAAGUCGAGCGGGGGAAGGUAGCUUGCUACCGGACCUAGCGGCGGACGGGUGAGUAAUGCUUAGGAAUCUGCCUAUUAGUGGGGGACAACAUCUCGAAAGGGAUGCUAAUACCGGAUGGCCAUUCCGGCUUCAGCGCUGGUCGGAAAAGGUAGCUUCGGCCUCCGGCCUAGGUGGGGUCGGCGGCGGAUUCGCUAGUUGGUGGGGUAGCGGCCUACCAAGGCGACGAUCCGUAGCUGGUCUGGGAGGACGAUCAGCCACACUGGGACUGAGACACGGCCCAGACUCCUACGGGAGGCAGCAGUGGGGAAUCUUGCGCAAUGGGCGAAAGCCUGACGCAGCGACGCCGCGUGAGGGAGGAAGGCCUUCGGGUUGUAAACCUCUUUCAGGAGGGACGAAGCUACUCGGGUUAAUAGCCCAGAGGGUGACGGUACCUCCAGAAGAAGCCCCGGCUAACUACGUGCCAGCCGCCGCCGUAA